rnacentral:rRNA from 1 species
AUGCGAUACUUGGUGUGAAUUGCAGAAUCCCGUGAACCAUCGAGUCUUUGAACGCAAGUUGCGCCCGAAGCCAUUAGGCCGAGGGCACGUCUGCCUGGGCGUCACGCAUCGCGUCGCCCCCGCACACCGC